rnacentral:rRNA from 1 species
ACUCCUACGGGAGGCAGCAGUAGGGAAUCUUCCACAAUGGGCGCAAGCCUGAUGGAGCAACACCGCGUGAGUGAAGAAGGGUUUCGGCUCGUAAAGCUCUGUUGUUAAAGAAGAACACGUAUGAGAGUAACUGUUCAUACGUUGACGGUAUUUAACCAGAAAGUCACGGCUAACUACGUGCCAGCAGCCGCGGUAAUACGUAGGUGGCAAGCGUUAUCCGGAUUUAUUGGGCGUAAAGAGAGUGCAGGCGGUUUUCUAAGUCUGAUGUGAAAGCCUUCGGCUUAACCGGAGAAGUGCAUCGGAAACUGGAUAACUUGAGUGCAGAAGAGGGUAGUGGAACUCCAUGUGUAGCGGUGGAAUGCGUAGAUAUAUGGAAGAACACCAGUGGCGAAGGCGGCUACCUGGUCUGCAACUGACGCUGAGACUCGAAAGCGUGGGGAGCAAACAGGAUUAGAUACCCUGGUAGGAUAGCG